GACGAACGCUGGCGGCGUGCUUAACACAUGCAAGUCGAACGGCCCCGCUCUCUUUUUUGGGGGUGGGUUGAGUGGCGAACGGGUGAGUAUCACGUGAGUAACGUGCCCCCUGCUCCUGGAUAACUGCUUGAAAGGGCGGCUAAUACGGGGUGUGCCGGCUGGUCCGCAUGGGCCUGGUCGGGUUAGUUUCUUCUGCGGGUGUUUGGGCGGGGGUUGGGCUCGCGGGCUAGCAGCUUGUUGGUGGGGUGAUGGCCCAGCAAGGCGGUGACGGGUAGCCGGCCUGGGAGGGUGGGCAGCCAGACUGGGACAGAGACACGGCACAGACUCGUGCGGGAGGCGGCGGUGGGGGGUAUCGCACAAUGGGCGGAAGCCUGAUGCAGCGACGUCGCGUGAGGGAGGGAGGCCUUCGGGUUGUGAACCUCUUUCUCCGGUGGAGAAGGCCCUGUCCGUUGCGGCGGGGUUGACGGUAGCCGGGUAUGAAGCGCCGGCUAACUACGUG
rnacentral:rRNA from 1 species